rnacentral:lncRNA from 1 species
UUUGAUGCAUAUUGCCCGAAGAAUGGCUUAAGGUCAUCAGGUGGAUAUUUAAGAAUUGUAAUGCAGAAUGAAUGGUUUGUAAAGACAAUGUAUAAUGCCGACCAGGAUCGAAAACUUGGUUAUGAUCCUUUAGUUUCCCUGUAUCUGUAGGUAUGUAUACCACUGGGAGUUUGUAUGCAGCUACGUUAAGCUGUUGUUGUACGCAGUAGUUGUAAAAGAAUUGUAAAGCUGGUUGGUUGCAGUCGAUACUCCUGGAACUGGAAAGGGAAUAAAUUAUAUGUAUGUUUCUAAAAGCUGGUAAAUGCUUGCAUUGUUCAUUGUGUUCAUGGUCGGUAAGCCGGAAGUGGAAGCUUUGCUUCUUUUUUUAGCGGUAAGCUUUGCUUUGCUGAGAGACCAGAAACAUUUAGCAUUCGGUGACAUCCAAUAAGAAAAGAACAAAAAGAAGCAUUCUCAGCA